AGCUGACGCACUUGGAGGAUGUAUAGCGAAAGCUGGUGUAUUCUAAUAGUUAGUGCAGCAUCGACUACGAUAAAAUUCUAGAUAGAGUUAUGAUGAUGACAUUUUCUAUCUAUAUGUCUUGACCAAGUCACGUGCCAGCAGUCGCGGUAAUACGUGGCAGACUAGUGUUAUUCAUCUUUAAUAGGUUUAAAGGGUACUUAGGCGGAAAAUUAAGCCUACUUAUUUUCUAGAGUUUUAUGCGAGGGGGGUACUAAAGAGUGUAGAGAUGAAAUUCUGUCAUACCUUUGGAACAGGCAACGGCGAAAGCAACCCUUUAUGUGAAAACUGACGUUGAGGGACGAAG
rnacentral:rRNA from 1 species